rnacentral:rRNA from 1 species
UACGUAGGGUGCAAGCGUUAAUCGGAAUUACUGGGCGUAAAGCGUGCGCAGGCGGCUUUGCAAGUCAGAUGUGAAAUCCCCGGGCUCAACCUGGGAACUGCAUUUGUGACUGCAUGGCUAGAGUGCGGCAGAGGGGGAUGGAAUUCCGCGUGUAGCAGUGAAAUGCGUAGAUAUGCGGAGGAACACCGAUGGCGAAGGCAAUCCCCUGGGCCUGCACUGACGCUCAUGCACGAAAGCGUGGGGAGCAAACAGG